rnacentral:misc_RNA from 1 species
ACACCCUCAAGCCUAGCUUGGUGUUGGGCGUCUGUCCCGCCGAUUCUCGCGCGCGGACUCGCCUCAAAGUCAUUGGCCGCGGUCGUGCCAGCCCCCUCGCGCAGCACAUUUUGCGCUUCUCGGAGGCUCGGCGGAUCCCGCGCUCCAGCAAGGACCUUUCACG